UAUUACAGAAACAAAAACUAAGACUCAGCUUCUUCUGCAGCUUUAACAGGAAGGCGGUUCUGAGUUAGACAUAAAGCAUGCAUUAUUCCAGAAUCCUCUUGAUGUUUUCCACUCUGAUGGCCACGGAGGUGACCGGAGAAGGUGAAGUGAAACAACUCCCCCGUUGGAUGGUUGUUCGUGAAAUGGGCAUUGUGUCCAUGAAUUGCUCUUUUGCCAGAACAGCUAUCAAUGUGCGUUGGUAUAGACAGCUCCCUGAUCAGCCACCCCAGUAUCUGGUGAUGGCUAAAAGUGAUGAUGAUCAGCCUAAGAGGAUCACCGCUUCAAUCAGUGGAGAUUACAAAACCAGUACCCUGACUGUCAAAGACACCAGAAUUAAUGACACCGCCACCUACCUCUGUGCAAUGAAGGCACAGUGUCACAAACAGCUUGACAGCGUGUACUAA